GACAGAGGGUGCAAACGUUGUUCGGAAUUACUGGGCGUAAAGCGCGUGUAGGCGGUUAGGCAAGUCGGAUGUGAAAUCCCCGUGGCUCAACUACGGAAGUGCACCCGAAACUGCUUAACUUGAGUCCCGGAGAGGAAGGCGGAAUGCUUGGUGUAGAGGUGAAAUUCGUAGAUAUCAAGCGGAACACCGGUGGCGGAAGGCGGCCUCUGGACAGUGACUGACGCUGGAGAUGGCGAAAGCGUGGGGAGCAAACAGG
rnacentral:rRNA from 1 species